rnacentral:rRNA from 1 species
AACUAUAACGGUCCUAAGGUAGCGAAAUUCCUUGUCAGGUAAGUUCUGACCCGCACGAAUGGCGUAAUGAUUUGGGCACUGUCUCAACAGCCCGCCCGGCGAAAUUGUAGUACUGGUGAAGAUGCCAGUUACCCGCAACUAGACGGAAAGACCCCAUGGAGCUUUACUGCAGCUUAAUACUGAAAUUCGGUAGUACAUGUACAGGAUAGGUGGGAGACUGAGAAAUACAGGCGUCAGCUUGUAUGGAGUCGCUGUUGGGAUACCACUCUUGUACUGCUGGGUUUCUAACCUGCGGCCGUGAAUCCGGUCGGGGGACACUGUUAGGCGGGCAGUUUGACUGGGGCGGUCGCCUCCCAAAAGGUAACGGAGGCGCUCAAAGGUUCGUUCAGCACGGACGGAAAUCGUGCAAUGAGUGUAAACGCAUAAACGAGCCUAACUGCGACACCGACGGGUGGAGCAGUAACGAAAGUUGGAGUUAGUGAUCCGGUGGUAUGUGAGUGGAAAUGCCAUCGCUCAACGGAUAAAAGCUACCCUGGGGAUAACAGGCUGAUCUCCCCCAAGCGUCCACAGCGACGGGGAGGUUUGGCACCUCGAUGUCGGCUCGUCGCAUCCUGGGGCUGAAUUCGGUCCCAAGGGUUUGGCUGUUCGCCAAUUAAAGCGGCACGCGAGCUGGGUUCAGAACGUCGUGAGACAGUUCGGUCCCUAUCUGUUGCGGGCGUAAGAGAUUUGAAGGGAGCUGUCCUUAGUACGAGAGGACCGGGAUGGACGUACCUCUGGUGCACCAGUUGUCCUGCCAAGGGCAUAGCUGGGUAGCUAUGUACGGACGAGAUAAACGCUGAAAGCAUCUAAGCGUGAAACUCCCCCUAAGAUGAGAUCUCUCAUCCUUCAAGGAGUAAGGACCCAGAAAGACGAUCUGGUUGAUAGGCCGAAGGUGGAAGCGCAGUAAUGUGUGGAGCUGAUCGGUACUAAUAGUCCGAGGGCUUGACCUA